UACGGGAGGCAGCAGGGGGAAUAUUGCACAAUGGGCGAAAGCCUGAUGCAGCUAUGCCGCGUGUAUGAAGAAGGCCUUAGGGUUGUAAAGUACUUUCAUCGGGGAGGAAAAAACAAAACUAAUAAUUUUAUUUCUUGACGUUACCCGAAAAAGAAGCACCGGCUAACUCCGUGCCAGCAGCCGCGGUAAUACGGAGGGUGCUAGCGUUAAUCAGAAUUACUGGGCGUAAAGAGCACGUAGGUGGUUUUUUUAAAGUCAGAUGUGAAAUCCCUGGGCUUAACCUGGAACUGCAUUUUGAAACUGAAAUACUAGAGUAUCGUAGAGGGAGGUAGAAUUCUAGGUGUAGCGGUGAAAUGCGUAGAUAUCUGGAGGAAUACCUGUGGCGAAAGCGGCCUCCUAAACGAAUACUGACACUGAGGUGCGAAAGCGUGGGGAGCAAACAGGGAUUAGAUACCCGU
rnacentral:rRNA from 1 species